rnacentral:tRNA from 1 species
UGGUAGAGCGCUCCACUUGUAAUGGAGAGGUCCCGGGUUCGAUACCCAGACCAGGCG